AUGCAAGUCGAACGGUAACAUUUCUAGCUUGCUAGAAGAUGACGAGUGGCGGACGGGUGAGUAAUGCUUGGGAACUUGCCUUUGCGAGGGGGAUAACAGUUGGAAACGACUGGUAAUACCGCAUAAUGUCUUCGGACCAAACGGGGCUUAGGCUCCGGCGCAAAGAGAGGCCCAAGUGAGAUUAGCUAGUUGGUAAGGUAACGGCUUACCAAGGCGACGAUCUCUAGCUGUUCUGAGAGGAAGAUCAGCCACACUGGGACUGAGACACGGCCCAGACUCCUACGGGAGGCAGCAGUGGGGAAUAUUGCACAAUGGGGGAAACCCUGAUGCAGCCAUGCCGCGUGUGUGAAGAAGGCCUUCGGGUUGUAAAGCACUUUCAGUUGUGAGGAAAAGUUAGUAGUUAAUACCUGCUAGCCGUGACGUUAACAACAGAAGAAGCACCGGCUAACUCCGUGCCAGCAGCCGCGGUAAUACGGAGGGUGCGAGCGUUAAUCGGAAUUACUGGGCGUAAAGCGCACGCAGGCGGUUUGUUAAGCUAGAUGUGAAAGCCCCGGGCUCAACCUGGGAUGGUCAUUUAGAACUGGCAGACUAAAGUCUUGGAGAGGGGAGUG
rnacentral:rRNA from 1 species